rnacentral:rRNA from 1 species
AUGAACGUUGGCGGCGUGCCUAACACAUGCAAGUCGAACGGCAAUAGCAAUAUUGGAGUGGCGCACGGGUGAGUAACACGUAGCUUAUCUACCUCAAAGCGCGGGAUAACGUGUCGAAAGACAGGCUAAUACCGCAUAAGCUCCCGGGUUCUAGAGACUAGGGAGAAAAGGCUUCGGUCACUUUGAGAUGAGGCUGCGGCCCAUCAGCUAGUUGGUGCGGUAAUGGCGUACCAAGGCGACGACGGGUAGGGGACCUGAGAGGGUGACCCCCCACACUGGGACUGAGACACGGCCCAGACUCCUACGGGAGGCAGCAGUGAGGAAUAUUGCACAAUGGGCGAAAGCCUGAUGCAGCGACGCCGCGUGGGUGAAGAAGGUUUUCGGAUCGUAAAACCCUUUUCUGUGUGACGAGAACGGACGGUAGCACAGGAAUAAGUCUCGGCUAACUACGU